rnacentral:rRNA from 1 species
GGCCCGCACAAGCGGUGGAGCAUGUGGUUUAAUUCGAUGCAACGCGAAGAACCUUACCUACUCUUGACAUCCAGAGAACUUAGCAGAGAUGCUUUGGUGCCUUCGGGAACUCUGAGACAGGUGCUGCAUGGCUGUCGUCAGCUCGUGUUGUGAAAUGUUGGGUUAAGUCCCGCAACGAGCGCAACCCUUAUCCUUUGUUGCCAGCGAUUCGGUCGGGAACUCAAAGGAGACUGCCGGUGAUAAACCGGAGGAAGGUGGGGAUGACGUCAAGUCAUCAUGGCCCUUACGAGUAGGGCUACACACGUGCUACAAUGGCGUAUACAAAGAGAAGCGACCUUGCGAGAGCAAGCGGAACUCAUAAAGUACGUCGUAGUCCGGAUUGGAGUCUGCAACUCGACUCCAUGAAGUCGGAAUCGCUAGUAAUCGUAGAUCAGAAUGCUACGGUGAAUACGUUCCCGGGCCUUGUACACACCGCCCGUCACACCUUGGGAGUGGGUUGCAAAAGAAGUAGGUAGCUUAACCUUCGGGAGGGCGCUUACCACUUUGUGAUUCAUGA